rnacentral:rRNA from 1 species
CCUACGGGAGGCAGCAGUGAGGAAUAGUGGUCAAUGGGCGCGAGCCGGAACCAGCCAAGUAGCGUGAAGGAUGACUGCCCUACGGGUUGUAAACUUCUGUUAUAAAGGAAUAAAGUGAGGCACGUGUGCCUUUGUGGAUGUACUUUAGGAAUAAGGAACGGCUAACUCCGUGCCAGCAGCCGCGGUAAUACGGAGGAUCCGAGCGUUAUCCGGAUUUAUUGGGGUGAAAGGGAGCGUAGAUGGGUUGUUAAGUCAGUUGUGAAAGUUUGCGGCUCAACCGUAAAAUUGCAAUUGAUACGGGCAGCCUUGCGUUCAGUUGAGGUCGUCUUACUUCGUGGUGUAGCGG